rnacentral:rRNA from 1 species
UGGGGAAUCUUGCGCAAUGGGCGAAAGCCUGACGCAGCGACGCCGCGUGCGGGAUGACGGCCUUCGGGUUGUAAACCGCUUUCAGCAGGGACGAAAAUGACGGUACCUGCAGAAGAAGCCCCGGCCAACUACGUGCCAGCAGCCGCGGUAAUACGUAGGGGGCGAGCGUUGUCCGGAUUUAUUGGGCGUAAAGAGCUCGUAGGCGGUUCGAUAAGCCGGAUGUGAAAUCUCCACGCUCAACGUGGAGGGUGCAUUCGGUACUGUCGUGACUAGAGUCAGGUAGAGGAGUGUGGAAUUCCUGGUGUAGCGGUGAAAUGCGCAGAGAUCAGGAGGAACACCCGUAGCGAAGGCGGCACUCUGGGCCUUGACUGACGCUGAGGAGCGAAAGCGUGGGUAGCGAACAG